rnacentral:rRNA from 1 species
GACGAACGCUGGCGGCGUGCCUAAUACAUGCAAGUAGAACGCACAGUUUAUACCGUAGCUUGCUACACCAUAGACUGUGAGUUGCGAACGGGUGAGUAACGCGUAGGUAACCUGCCUGGUAGCGGGGGAUAACUAUUGGAAACGAUAGCUAAUACCGCAUAAUAUUGAUUAUUGCAUGAUAAUUGAUUGAAAGAUGCUAUUGCAUCACUACCAGAUGGACCUGCGUUGUAUUAGCUAGUAGGUGAGGUAACGGCUCACCUAGGCGACGAUACAUAGCCGACCUGAGAGGGUGAUCGGCCACACUGGGACUGAGACACGGCCCAGACUCCUACGGGAGGCAGCAGUAGGGAAUCUUCGGCAAUGGACGAAAGUCUGAACGAGCAACGCCGCGUGAGUGAAGAAGGUUUUCGGAUCGUAAAGCUCUGUUGUAAGAGAAGAACGGGUGUGAGAGUGGAAAGUUCACACUGUGACGGUAUCUUACCAGAAAGGGACGGCUAACUACGUG